GGCGGCGGCGGGAGGGGGGCUUGUGGCGUCUGCGUGUUCGUGUGUCGUUUUACACACACGCACCCCCCCCCCCACACACACACACACACACCCGCGCUGGGGGCGGCUCGGCGACACGCGUGGAGCCUGUCCCUCGGCAGUGGGGCUCCGGGCCGCCGCCCGCAGCGGUCGUUAAGGCGUCAGCGCUGCGCGGGGGGACGGAGAGGGGAAGGUGACCGGUUUCCCUGGGCGCCUCGUUGCCCAAGGGACGUACGAGAUGCUGCUGUGAGCUGGUUAUCCAACAAAACUCCUUUGUUAAGGCUUGAAAAGAUGAUCCCUGCCUUGUUUUUCUUCGGAUCACUGCAGGCUUGCUUUCCUUUGCAGUCACUUCCAGCAUGGUUCUGCUUUGAAUCUGCCCCAUCUCAACAUUCAAGGAAGGUACUGUAACAAUUUGGAUACCAAACAUGGAGAGGACAGCCCCGUUGGACAGCUGUGCCAGGAUUCCUGCCCUAGCUCUCACCACAAACCUCAGCCGAGUUGCUUCACAUUUCCAGAAGAAAGACUAUAUAAGUUAUACGGAACUCGGCAAAUUUCUUUCAGUUCAGACGACAGAACUAGGUGCCUGGCUGCCAAAUGAAUGAAAUCUAAGGAAUCCAGAGGCAUUUACAGCAAAGCUGAGAUUUUCCUAAUGGAUGCUUAAAAGUUAUGCUCAUGAAACUCCUAAACCUUUCCUCAGUAGAAACUGGGCACCUAACUCCCUUUGCAAAUCCUUAUCUCAAGUCUGCAUUCAAGCCCCUGUUGCUGAUGUCAUACACAGGAGGAUGAAAGAAUAUAACUUGAAUGUUUUUUCUGGAAAGAUAUUAUAUAUUUGAGACACCUACCUGCACUCCCAAGGAUUACAGAUAUGAAAUGUAUCUAAUUACUACUGCACAUUAUGAGAAUUUGCUAGUGACUUUGAGAUCUCCUGGAAACCCAUACAUAAGAUUCUGAAGCCAGCCGAGUGUUUAUCAUCCUUGAGGAAUCUAGCCCGUAGAGGUUUGAUUAAUUUUUUUCAUACACACAUAAACAGAUUCAAGAUGUUCUUGUUCAGCCAGAGGAUAAAGGUUUCUCCUGCUAUCUCAGUUCUCCAUCAGAAAAACGGUCAGUCCCAAUGUGCCAAGAUUCUCCCAAAUGCAUAAUUGCCGUCAUCUGUGUUUACUAACGCAGGCUUACAGGCAUCCUGAAAAACAAGGAUGGUAUCUUUUUCCAGCAUGAACUCCGAAGUGCAGAUAGUCCCAGGCUUGAACUGCUUCUCAAGCCUACCUACAGCCAGGAGACCUCUCAGAUAAGACAAGAAGAUCCCACCUACGUUGCAGAAGUAACGCCGGUCAGCUUCAAUCAGUGACCAAAUUUCUCAAGAGCAGAAAUGUUAAAUCCGUGAUUCCAGUUUGGACAAGUACAGAGCAUGACCUAAACCUCCUUGGUUCACUGAGAGUCUUCACUUUCCCUCCACAGUUGCCAAAUCACGUUCUCAGGCACUGCAUAACUGCUGAUGUGGUUUUGCACUCAUAGUGCCACGUGUGAGCAGAUGCUAAAUAGAGCCUUUAUCGUUAGGGAAUCCUUAUUUGCUAUAAAAAAAAAAAAAAAAAAGCACUACAGCAUCUUUGAAACCUCUUCAGAGGAUCGAGCCAUUAUACAUCCACAUAGAGCUUCACGGGACACCCCGGACCUGAUUCUCCUUUCCCCCGAGGCAGAGGCAGGCUGUUUGUCCAGCAUGAAUCCAACUAAACAGUCUCUAAGUGAUUUCACUGAUCUUACAUGAAGAAAAUAUUAUU